AAAUGAGCAUUUUAUUUUUGUAAAAAAGUAAGUUUCUGAUAUUUAUAUUAAUUUAUUAUUAAUUUUGAUGUGAACUAUUUUUCAUUGGAGUAAUUGUCUAUAUUCCUUUCAAAACUUUAAAAAUAUCUAAUUUACCCCUAGUUAAUUUUUGUUUCAACAAUACCCCUCAUAUAUUCCUCCGUUAUUCAAAAAUGCCCCCGCAGUUACCACCUAUUAAGUUAUCUCGAGUUAAACGUGAGUUAAAUAUCUAACGGAGUUAAAAAAAAUCAAAAUAUUUCUUUUGUUCUUAACUUAAGGGCAAAUAAGUAAAGUUUGUGAUGGUAGAAGGGAAUAGUAGAAGGGUAUAUUUGAAAAAAAAUAAAAAAUCAAAACACUUAUUUUGCCCUAGUUAAGGGCAAAUAAGAAAGUUUGUGAUUGUAGAAGGGUAUAUUUGAAAGGGCAAAAUAGUAAUUUCACAGAGAUAACAGCUGUUGCUAACAGUUACUAACAGGAUUUAACUUUAAGGGUGCGUUUGGUUCGCGCUAUCUUUUAAAGAUUCCUAGUAAUCCAAUGGGAAUAAAAAAAAUAUGACGGUGUUUGGCUAAACGCAUUAAGUAAUCUAGUUGGUAAGAUUGGAUUCACUUGGGAAUAAGAUUCACCCCAAAGUACUAAUCUCAUUCCCUUGAGGGAGGGUGGGUAUCCUCAUAUUAAUGGAUUGGGAUAAUCAUAAUAUGUCUAAACUCUUUCUUUCUUCCUACCCACCGGCUAAUUGAUAUUAUUUUUCUUUACACUCUAACCUUAUAUCUCUCUCUAAACUUAUUUUUCUCUCUAAAAUUCAACUUUUUUUUCUCUCUCUAAACUAAGUUUUCUCUCUCUCUCUCUUUCUAAAAUUUCAACUCUCUCACUCCCUCUAAUUUCGACUAUAUUUUUCUUUCUAUUUUUUUAAUUAUGCUCUCUCUCUCUAACUUAUACUCUCUCUUUUUUCUAAAAAGAUGUUGAAAUUUUUGGUAACAUUAUCUAAAAUUAAAUAAAUAAAUAAAUUGUAUUUUUUUUCAAUAUUAAAUAACAUGGCUAAUUAAUAUUACCGUGCGAACCAAACACAGGAAUUCCACAUUCUUACUAAUAAGAUGAAGAGGAAUAAGAUUCUCGGAUAUCUUUUAUUCCUAGUAAUCUUUCAUAAUGCGAAUCAAACGCACCCUAAAGGUAUAUUUAAAAUAACUUGGAACGUUACAAGGGUAUUUUUAAUAAUAACCUUCUAAAAGGGGUAAAUCGGAAAAUCGAAAACUUUUCAGGAGUAUAUAAGAAAUUGCACCUUUUUUAUUCUAUUGCCGUAAUAACUCGCUAUAGCUUCUUUU
rnacentral:lncRNA from 1 species